rnacentral:rRNA from 1 species
GACGUAGGGCGCGAGCGUUGUCCGGAUUUAUUGGGCGUAAAGAGCUCGUAGGCGGCUUGUUGCGUCGACUGUGAAAACCUGCGGCUCAACCGUGUGGUCUGCAGUCGAUACGGGCAGGCUGGAGUUCGGUAGGGAGACUGGAAUUCCUGGUGUAGCGGUGAAAUGCGUAGAUAUCUGGAGGAACACCGGUGGCGAAGGCGGCAUCCUGGACCGGCAUUGACGCUGAGGCGCGAAAGCUAGGGAGCAAACGGG